UCAUUGAAUCAGCUUGAACGUUGGUGCUUUAUUACACUGAAUCGGCUUGAAGGUUGCUGCUUUUUUAUUACACACAGUUUGAGCUUGGAGUGGAAAUGUUGGAGCCUAAUGCCAGCUAGGCUAGCCGUUGGGAGAUGGGCUAAAAUAAAAUCACUGAAUCAGCUCGAACGUUGGUGCUUUAUUACACUGAAUCGGCUUGAAUGUUGCUGCUUUUUUUUACACAGAGUUUGAGCUUGGAGUGGGAACGUUGGAGCCUAAUGCCAGCUAGGCUAGCCGUUGGGAGAUGGGCUAAAAUUAGAGGCAAUUGGGAGAUUCAUACAUUAAAAGCCUCCAAUUGAAGGAAAAAGAAGCCUCGAAUAAAAUCAAGGCAAGAGAGGGAAGAGCCCCCAAUAAAAUCAGGGUAAGAGAGGAAAGAGGAUUUGUAGGAGGGAGUGGCAGUGGGACUGAGCUUUCCAUUUAAACUGGAGGGUCUCGUCAUUCCAAAACUUUGGGCAGAAGAGGAAUUGUGGUAGGGGCCGAGCUCUGCAUUUGCAUUGGAGUGUUGUGUCAUUGGGCACAGAAGGUGCUUACAGUUGAUGGAUUGCACCAUCAAAUUAUUUAUCUCUUUGAAAGAUUUAGAAAAUAAGUCCCAGCUGAUGAUCCAAACAUGCCAUGAAAUUCUUGGUUCAUGGUUAAAGGGCUUGACAAGCUGGUUGUGAUCAGGGACAAUUUAAAAGAAAGUUUGGACAAGUGAGAACUUGAUCACAGAAUUCGUUGGAGGAUUUGUGCACAAUAACGAGAACUUGAACGUGAAGACUUCAAAGAAGGGAUCAACUUCUGGUAUUGUUUAAUACUUGAAUGGAAGUACAAAAUAUGUAACAUUUGAUUUAAAUUGACUAUUUUUGUUUAUUGUAAGCAUUCCUCAACAAUAUAAUUAAUAAAGAUGUACCAUUUUUUUUUUAAGGAGGGGUAGAAAUACCCCUCCAAAAACU